GUUUUAAUAGUUUAAUAAAAACAUUGGUCUUGUAAAUCAAAAAUAAGAUUUUUUUUUCUUUUAAAACU
rnacentral:tRNA from 1 species